CCCGGCAUGGUUUAAUACAUGCAAGUCGUGGGGCAGCAUGAAUGUAGCAAUACAUUUGAUGGCGACCGGCAAACGGGUGCGGAACACGUACACAACCUUCCUAUAAGUGGGGAAUAGCCCAGAGAAAUUUGGAUUAAUACCCCGUAACAUAACGAUGUGGCAUCACAUUGUUAUUAUAGCUUCGGCGCUUAUUGAUGGGUGUGCGGCUGAUUAGAUAGUUGGCGGGGUAACGGCCCACCAAGUCUACGAUCAGUAGCUGAUGUGAGAGCAUGAUCAGCCACACGGGCACUGAGACACGGGCCCGACUCCUACGGGAGGCAGCAGUAAGGAAUAUUGGUCAAUGGACGCAAGUCUGAACCAGCCAUGCCGCGUGAAGGAUUAAGGUCCUCUGGAUUGUAAACUUCUUUUAUCUGGGACGAAAAAAGGCGAUUCUUCGUCACUUGACGGUACCAGAUGAAUAAGCACCGGCUAACUCCGUGCCAGCAGCCGCGGUAAUACGGAGGGUGCAAGCGUUAUCCGGAUUCACUGGGUUUAAAGGGUGCGUAGGCGGGCAGGUAAGUCAGUGGUGAAAUCCUGGAGCUUAACUCCAGAACUGCCAUUGAUACUAUCUGUCUUGAAUAUUGUGGAGGUAAGCGGAAUAUGUCAUGUAGCGGUGAAAUGCUUAGAUAUGACAUAGAACACCUAUUGCGAAGGCAGCUUACUACGCAUAUAUUGACGCUGAGGCACGAAAGCGUGGGGAUCAAACAGGAUUAGAUACCCUGUAGUCCACGCCCUAAACGAUGGAUACUCGACAUACGCG
rnacentral:rRNA from 1 species